UGUGUCCUCUUCACAUCCUUCUCCUUCACGAGGCAUUCAUUUCGCCUCGUUCCCCAUUCUCCUCUUCGUCAGUUGCUCCUGGAGGCGACGGCGACUUCUGGAGAGCUACAAGAAGAGAGAGACGCAUUGGAGUGGCGGCGAUUGCUUGGGAGCGAGAAGGGGAGGGGGAGGAGAGGAGCAGCCAAGAUGGUGUGCCCAGACUGUCAUUCGCAUUGCGAGAAUGACAACAAGCAGAUAUUUUUUUGAAUUGUCAUUCGUGAGGGCUCCAAAGCCGCCCUCACCAACAGUGAAUAUCCCAUGCACAGCCAGUUGAUAUGCUGUCGUUGUGAAUCUAUCAUUGACACACAAUUGGGUUUUUUUCCGCUACAAGGCGUUGUCUUAGUUGCAAGUCCACCAUCAACACACAACUAUAGGCUUCCUACAUAACGACGCUCCCAGUUUGCAGGUCCAUCAUUGACAUGGAAUUGUGGGUUUUCUUUCUAGUUGUUUUUACUCUAGUUGCAAAUCUAUCAUUGACACACACUAGGAUCUUUUUUGUAGUUAUUUUUGCAAGUUGACCCUUGACUCGCAAGAUUUUUUGUGUAGUCAUAGUCGCCCCAGUUGCAAGUAGACCAUCAACUUGCAACUAAGCUUUGUAGUUUUUUCUCAUGCCACUUGCAAGUCGACCUUUGACUCGCAACUGGUUUUUUUGUGUAAUCAUAGCCGCCCUAGUUGCAAGUCCAUCAUCGACUCGCAACUCGGACUUGUAUUUCUUUUUUCAUGCCACUUGCAAGACGAACCUCGACUCGCAAUUAGGAUUUUUUGUGUAGUUGUAGUCACGCCACUUGCAAGUCCACCAACAACUUGCAACUCGGCUCGUAGUUUUUUCCACGUCACUUGCAAGUCGACCCUCGACUUGCAACUGGGUUUUCAUGUAGUUGUAAUCGCCGCAGUUGCGAGUGCAUCAUCAACUCGCAACUCGAACCCGUGGUUCUUUGUCUCAUGCCACAUGCAAGUCGAUCCUCGACUCGCAACUAGUUUUUUUUGUAGCCGUAGUCAGUUGCAAGUCGGUCAUCAACUCGCAACUAGGCUUGUACUUUAUUGUUUCAUGCCACUUGCACGUCGACCCUCGAUGCGCAAUUGAGGUUUUGUGUAGUUGUAAUCGCCUUAGUUCCAAGUGCACCAUCGAGUCUCAACUCGGCCUGUACUUUUUCUGUUUCAUUCCACUUGCAAGUUGACCCUCGACUCGCAAUUCAGAUAUUUUGUGUAGUUGUAGUCACGCCAAUUACAUGUCCACCAUCGACUCGCAACUCGGCUCACGUCACUUGCAAGUCGACCCUCGACUUACAACUGGGGUUUAAUGUAGUUGUAAUCGCCCCAGUUGCAAGUCCACCAUCGACUCGCAACUCGGACCCGUAGUUCUCGUUUCAUGCCACUUGCAAGAUGCCCAUUGACUCGCAACUUGGGUUUUUUGUGUAGUUGUAGUCACGCCAGUUGCAAGUCCACCAUUCACUCGCAACUCGGCUCGUACUAUUUUGUUUUAUAUCACUUGCAAGUCGACCCUGGACUUGCAACUGGGGUUUCCAUGUAGUUCUAAUCGCCCCAGUUGCAAGUCCACCAUCGACUCGCAACUCGUGCUGUACUUUUUGUUUCAUGUCACUUGCAAGUUGACCUUCGACUCGCAACCAGGGUUUAUUUGUGUAGUUGUAGUCCCCGCAGUUGCAAGUCCACUAUCAACUCGCAACUCAGCCUGUACUUUUUGUUUCUUGCCAUUUGCAAGUUGACCCUCAACUCGCAACUGGUUUUUUGUGUAGUUGUAGUUACGCCAGUUGCAAGUCGACCAUCGACUUGCAACGCUGCUCGUACUUUUUUGUUUUAGGUCACUUGCAAGUUAAUCCACGACUUGCAACUGGGGUUUCUAUGUAGUUGUAAUUGUCCCAGCUGCAAGUCCACCAUCGACUCGCAACUUGGACCCGUAAUUCUUGUUUCAUGCCCACUUGCAAGUUGCCAUUUGACUUGCAAACUAGGUUUUUUGGAUAGUUGUAGUCACGCCACUUGCAAGUCAACCCUCGACUUGCAACUGGGGUUUUUAUAUAGUUGUAAUCGCCCUAGUUGCAAGUCUACCAUCUACUCGCAACUCAGACCCGUAGUUCUUUGUUUCAUGUCACUUGCAAGUCGACCCUCGACUCUCAACUAGUUUUUUUGUAGUCAUAGUCACCCUAGUUGCAAGUGCACCAUCGACUCGCAACUCGGCUUGUACUUUUUUAUUUCAUGCCACUUGCAAGUUGACCCUCGACUUGCAAUUGGGGUAUUUUUUGUAGUUGUAGUCACGCCCCGUUGCAAGUCCACCAUCGACUCACAACUGGGCUUGUAGUUUUUGUUUCACGUCACUUGCAAGUCGACCCUCGACUUACAACUAGGGUUUAAUGUAGUUUAUAAUCGCCCCAGUUGCAUGUCCACCAUCGACCCGAACCCGUAGUUACAUGCCACUUGUAGGUCGCCCUUUGACUUGCAAAAUCAGUUUUUUGUGUAGUUGUAGUCACGUCAGUUGCAAGUCCACCAACGACUCGCAACUCGGAUCGUAGUUUUUGUUUCACGCCACUUGCAAGUCAAAUCUUGUCUUGCAACUUGGGUUUUCAUGUAGUUGUAAUCGCCAGUCGCAAGUCCACAAUCGACUCGCAACUCGGACCCAUAGUUCUUUGUUUCAUGCUACUUGCAAGUCGACCCCCAACUCGUAACUGGUUUUUAGUAGUCGAAGUCACCCUAGUUGCAAGUCGACCCUCGAUGCGUUAUUGGGGUUAUUGUGUAGUUGUAAUCGCCCCAGUUGCAAGUGCACCAUCGACUCGCAAAUCGGCCCUAUACUUUUUUGUUUCGUGCCACUUGCAAGUUGACCUUCGACUCGCGAUUGUUUUUUUCUUUUUUGUGGUUGUGGUAACGCCAGUUGCAAGUCCAUCAUCGACUCGCAACUCGGCUCGUAGUUUUUUGUUUCACGUCACUAGCAACUCGACCCUCGACUUGGGGGCCAAAAUGUUGAGAUAGAUAGGGUUCAUAUCUACUUGAUAUAGAGAGGAUACAAUUUAUAAUUUUUCUUCCCAAGCACUUUACUCAUUUUAUUUGUCCAAAAGAAUAACCGACUUAAAUCUUUGUUUCUACUGGACAAAAGGGAUAACAUGUUGACCACCAAGUGGAAUUUAUUUGUUAGUUAGUAAGAGAAUUUGAUGGUGUUGCAAACUCAUGACCCUGAGAGGCAAAUGAGUAAGGUGGAACUAUCUGCAGAAAUUGUUUUGCAUUUGAAAAAGCCUCAGGUCAAACACCACUGCUGGGUACUGGGAUGCACAGUCUACAAUCAAAACAAAGCAGUAAGUUCAUCUCAUGUUUUUCCUGUCAUAAUUUUUUCAUGGUCCCAUGUGUAUUUAUGGAUCAAUAUUUAUUUAUUUUUCUUUUUUGCCAAAUCAUACCUGAGUGCCAACGUAGUCCCCUGCAUAGCUAUCUUCAUUUCCCGCGGUCAUCAGUUUUUACAAAAUUUAACAUUAUGCUUUUCUUCGCCUAAAGAUUUUAUGGAUUGGAGGAGCACACCCCUAAGUUCUUUUUCUUAGGGGCAACAUGCUAACAUUUGUCAUAUGAUGUUUUCUUUCUUAUCUGGUGCCAACACUUUUUUGUGAACAUGCAUAAUACACUGAGAUGCAGUCAAAUUCUAAGUUCUUCUUUCUUAGAUGAAAAAUUCUAAAUUCGGAGUCAGCACUUUUUAUUUUGUUCCCUAACAAGGUAAUGAUGCAUCUUUUCCUCUUUCUUUUCCCUAGUGAGGCCAAAUAUAUUUUCUUGAUCAGGUUGUAUAUAGAAAUGUAGUUAUAGUUUUUCUGGGGAAGGCAAUGUUUUUUGUUGAAUAAAUGGGAACAAAUGCCGUCUGAAAGUAGUUGCAUGCAAACUGGAACAAGGAGGUGUUUUUGUUCUGCUUAGAAAGACUUUGCUCUGAUUUUUUUGACGACAAAAAACUGUUGAACUGUUGUGUGUGUUUUCCAGAGACCAGGACCAUCAUAUGUUUGAUGGAAAAAGAAAGGAUAAUCAAGAGCAAAAAAUAAAGAUCUACCAUCAGAAAUUAUCUACAAGGUUGUACACGAUCUUGCCAGAAAGGAUCUAUAAGGAGAGGCCAAAUUUUGUACUUGGGUUUUUGCAACUUUUCGUCAGCCACCUAAGCUUCUUUUGCAACUGUUUUUUUUUUCUGCCAACAAGGCCCAGGACUCUGCGCACAUGUAGCUCUUCUUUUUUGUCAAACAAACAAAUAGACAAAUAAAGCCCAACAAACAAGGUCCAGGGGGAAGAGGUAGGUCGGCUGGGUGGGGUUGACUGGCCAGACACAAACAAACAAUACAAAUAAGCGUCUAUGUGUGUGAGGGUGAUCGGGUGCAACCAGGCUGGUUGUUUGAUUAGAGGAUGAUGACAGCUUAGAUGUGAAAUAUUAUCUCACAUCUAGAUGCAACAUAGACAGACCCUUAUUCAUAUGCUAUGAUGUUAAUGAAGAUCCUAAUCCAGUGGUGCGCUUUGUCCGGACUACAAUUUGAAAAGUAUAAGCAACCAAAGCAUGCUACGGUACAUCGCAGUCUUUUGUUUUGCCAAGAAGGCCUGGUUUAUUGUAAA